UGGAACGUUAUUUUUUUUUCUCUCUCUAUUCCCUCUCUCUGCCGCCCCCUCUGACCUUUUUCACCUCCGGCGAUUUCACCGUUCAUCUUCACCACCGGCACGGCGAACACUGCUGGUUGCUGUCCUCUCGAUCCACUCCCAAUCUCUGAAUCACAAUUAAAAUCCCUAAUUUCAUCUAGGGUUUUCAGCCUCUCGAAUUUUCCAACCUUCCGACGAGCAUCACCGUCGCCGUCGUCGCCGCGUCUUCACCCCGCCUGAGCCGCGACGCAGCUGCAGGUACUUCCCCCUUUCUCUCUCCAUGGCGGCUGUUGCGGAUUGCUGCUGCACAUGCAGCGCCCGCGACCGCGCCUUCGCUGUGGCGUGUGGCCGCUGCUGCCCUCUCUUAUUUCUCUCUUAUAGUUGGCUAACUGCCGGACGAGCUAGGGCUGCUGACCGAUCUGCAGUCUUCCACAUAAACUCCAACAGAUUCUACAGCCUUGUUUCUGAAUACCUUCAAAAAAUUGAAGUUGCUUUUCGAGCUGGAUUUGAUCAACAAUCGUUUCGUCGGGAUGUCUUCCUACACUUGCCACUAUCCCCAUAAAUAUUGGGUUUUACAGAGCUCUUUCUAAUACAGCAGAUGAGGUUUAAACAAAGAGAGGAAGAGAUGAGGAAAGCUGAGGAGGCGGCAACUAAUGGGCAUCAGAUUACAAAUUGCUGUGAACGGUAAUGAAGUAAACUCAGAAUUGAAGGAUAAUGAGAGGUCAUCUGCUGCUAGGGAAGAAACUCGUGAUAAGAGUGAUG